rnacentral:rRNA from 1 species
AGAGUUUGAUCCUGGCUCAGGACGAACGCUGGCGGCGCGCCUAACACAUGCAAGUCGAACGGAGCUUAGAGAGCUUGCUUUUUAAGCUUAGUGGCGAACGGGUGAGUAACGCGUGAGUAACCUGCCCUAGAGUGGGGGACAACAGUUGGAAACGACUGCUAAUACCGCAUAAGCCCACGGUACCGCAUGGUACUGAGGGAAAAGGAUUUAUUCGCUUUGAGAUGGUCCUGCGGCGCAUUAGCUAGUUGGUGAGGUAGUAGCUUACCAAGGCGACGAUGCGUAGCUGAGCUGAGAGGCCAAACAGCCACACUGGGACUGAGACACGGCCCAGACUCCUACGGGAGGCAGCAGUAGGGAAUUUUCGGCAAUGGGGGAAACCCUAACCGAGCAAUGCCGCGUGAAUGAUGAAAUUCUUCGGAAUGUAAAAUUCUGUUGUGAGGGAAGAAAGGUAGUAUCAGGAAAUGGGUAUUACUUGACGGUACCUUACUAGAAAGCCCCGGCUAACUAUGUGCCAGCAGCCGCGGUAAUACAUAGGGGGCGAGCGUUAUCCGGAAUUAUUGGGCGUAAAGCGUGCGUAGGCGGCCGUUUAAGUCUGUCGUGAAAGCCCACAGCUUAACUGUGGAGGGUCGAUGGAAACUGGAUGGCUUGAAUCUAGAAGAGGUAAGUGGAAUUCCAUGUGUAGCGGUAAAAUGCUUAGAUAUAUGGAGGAACACCAGUGGCGAAGGCGGCUUACUGGUCUAGCAUUGACGCUGAGGCACGAAAGCGUAGGUAGCAAACAGGAUUAGAUACCCUGGUAGUCUACGCUGUAAACGAUGAGCACUAAGUGUCGGACGUAAGUUCGGUGCUGUAGUUAACGCAUUAAGUGCUCCGCCUGGGGAGUACGGUCGCAAGACUGAAACUCAAAGGAAUUGACGGGGACUCGCACAAGCGGUGGAGCAUGUGGUUUAAUUCGACGCAACGCGAAAAACCUUACCAGGCCUUGACAUCCCUAUGACCGCUCUAGAGAUAGAGUUUCCUCUUCGGAGGUAUAGGUGACAGGUGGUGCAUGGUUGUCGUCAGCUCGUGUCGUGAGAUGUUGGGUUAAGUCCCGCAACGAGCGCAACCCUUAUCAUUAGUUGCUAACAUUAAGUUGAGCACUCUAAUGAGACUGCCAGCGACAAGUUGAAGGAAGGUGGGGACGACGUCAAAUCAUCAUGCCCCUUAUGAUCUGGGCUACACACGUGCUACAAUGGCAUUCACAAAGGGAAGCGAAACUGCGAAGUGGAGCAAACCCCAAAAAGGAUGUCUCAGUUCGGAUUGUAGUCUGCAACUCGACUACAUGAAGCUGGAAUCGCUAGUAAUCGCGAAUCAGAAUGUCGCGGUGAAUACGUUCCCGGGUCUUGCACACACCGCCCGUCA